UAGUAGGAAGCAGAGUCAGCGGCGGCAGCGUCCGAAGGCCUUUACCCCCACCCCCCCCAUCCGGACGCCACUAGGAGCGAGCGCCCAACACAGCUCGGCUGGUAAAGGGAAGAUCAAAGAAGAUCUCAUAGAAGAGGUAGCAUCUGAGAUAUGCCUUAAAGAAUGAUAAGGGUUAUGAGAGGUAAGUAGAGAAUAUCCCAUGUAAAAAUGGACUGCUAAAUUGGAGGAACAACUCCUUUUUCAACUGAAAUGUAAAGCUCAUAAAGAAAAAUAUGAAAUAAGGCUAAAGAAGUCCAUAGAAGCCAUAUAGAGCAGGAUUUCAAUAUCAGACUAGAGAGUUUGUAUUUUAUUGCAGAAUGGGGAGUGCCUAAAAGGAAGGGACUUAGAAGAUUACUUUGGUAGUCAUGUGGAGGGUUAGGGUUAGAGAGGAGGAGACAACAAAGACAGGAAGUCCAAUUGGGAAGCUUUUACAGUAAUCAGUUGAAUUAGAG
rnacentral:lncRNA from 1 species